UUUCAGUGGGGGAUAACGUAGCGAAAGUUACGCUAAUACCGCAUAUUCUGUGAGCAGGAAAGCAGGGGAUCGCAAGACCUUGCGCUGAUUGAGCGGCCGAUAUCAGAUUAGCUAGUUGGUGAGGUAAAGGCUCACCAAGGCGACGAUCUGUAGCGGGUCUGAGAGGAUGAUCCGCCACACUGGAACUGAGACACGGUCCAGACUCCCACGGGAGGCAGCAGUGGGGAAUUUUGGACAAUGGGGGCAACCCUGAUCCAGCCAUGCCGCGUGAGUGAAGAAGGCCUUCGGGUUGUAAAGCUCUUUCGGCCGGGAAGAAAUCGCAUGGGUUAAUACCCUGUGCGGAUGACGGUACCGGCAUAAGAAGCACCGGCUAACUACGUGCCAGCAGCCGCGGUAAUACGUAGGGUGCGAGCGUUAAUCGGAAUUACUGGGCGUGAAGCGUGCGCAGGCGGUUUUUUAAGACAGGCGUGAAAUCCCCGGGCUCAACCUGGGAACUGCGCUUGUGACUGGAAGGCUAGAGUAUGGCAGAGGGGGGUGGAAUUCCACGUGUAGCAGUGAAAUGCGUAGAGAUGUGGAGGAACACCAAUGGCGAAGGCAGCCCCCUGGGCCAAUACUGACGCUCAUGCACGAAAGCGUGGGUAGCAAACAGGAUUAGAUACCCUGGUAGUCCACGCCCUAAACGAUGUCAACUAGGUGUUGGGUGGGUAAAACCAUUUAGUACCGGAGCUAACGCGUGAAGUUGACCGCCUGGGGAGUACGGCCGCAAGGUUAAAACUCAAAGGAAUUGACGGGGACCCGCACAAGCGGUGGAUGAUGUGGAUUAAUUCGAUGCAACGCGAAAAACCUUACCUACCCUUGACAUGUCCAGGAGCCUGAAGAGAUUUGGGUGUGCCCGAAAGGGAACUGGAACACAGGUGCUGCAUGGCUGUCGUCAGCUCGUGUCGUGAGAUGUUGGGUUAAGUCCCGCAACGAGCGCAACCCUUGUCGUUAAUUGCCAUCAUUUAGUUGGGCACUUUAACGAGACUGCCGGUGACAAACCGGAGGAAGGUGGGGAUGACGUCAAGUCCUCAUGGCCCUUAUGGGUAGGGCUUCACACGUCAUACAAUGGUCGGUACAAAGGGUUGCCAAGCCGCGAGGUGGAGCCAAUCCCAGAAAGCCGAUCGUAGUCCGGAUCGCAGGCUGCAACUCGCCUGCGUGAAGUCGGAAUCGCUAGUAAUCGUGGAUCAGCACGUCACGGUGAAUACGUUCCCGGGUCUUGUACACACCGCCCGUCACACCAUGGGAGCGGGUUCCGUCAGAAGUAGGUAGCCUAACCGCAAGGAGGGCGCUUACCACGGCGGGGUUCGUGACUGGGGUGAAGUCGUAACAAGGUA
rnacentral:rRNA from 1 species